rnacentral:tRNA from 1 species
GGAGAGGUGGCAGAGUUGGUCGAAUGCGCACGACUCGAAAUCGUGUGUGCCGCAAGGCACCGAGGGUUCGAAUCCCUCCCUCUCCG